CUAUUCUGAUAUCAGACUCAUUGCCAACUGUUGCUUCUGGAUGUGUCACAACAGAAACCAGAUCUGCAGGUCUGAAGGGCAAGUCUGUAGAUCUGCAUUGCUGAAGGAAGCUUCAUCAGAUCCGCAGAAGAACUCAGAUGUAUCUGGUUUAAUCAACGCGCGUCGGGAGAGGAGAUGCCAGCUCGUAUAGCAGCUCUACGGGCCUCAGGGGCUGGAAAGUGCUGAUGAACCCUGUUGUCCGGAGAGGUGCUGGCCUGACGGGAUGAUGGGACGGAGGAAUAAAGCGAGAGCAGUGUGGUGUUCUCAUCUCUUCAGAUCUCAGCACAAAGGCAGUAUGACAGAGAUGAAUCCCUCCCUCUCCCGGACCCUCGCCCCCCCGAACUCCAGGCCCGCUGCUGGGGACGCCUUUGUUCACU